CUGGGUGUAGCUCAGCUUGGCAGAGCGUGUGUCUUGGGUGCACAAGGUCGUAGGUUCGAAUCCUGCCAUCCAGA
rnacentral:tRNA from 1 species